GGAUCCUUUGUCUUCUCCGCACUCUGGGCUUAGUCUGCAGUGGCCAUGAAGAUUGCCUACUUUCUGAUACUGAUGCUCUGCUUGUUCUCGCCCCUGAUGGUCCAGGGGCUCAAGAAAAACUCAGCACCAAAUACCUGUGGUUUAUACGGUGGCAUUUGCACGAAACAGAAAGCCCGUGGAUGCAUGACCCUGAACAUAAAAUGCAAAGGUGGAUACAAAUACUGCUGUGUGUAUCCACGGAAGCACAAUAACUCACGCAGUUUAGUGUGAGAGUCGGCACCUGCUCUGAUUUCCGUGUAAUAAAGACAUCAUGAAGCAUA